AUACGGAGGGUGCAAGCGUUAAUCGGAAUUACUGGGCGUAAAGCGUGCGUAGGUGGUUAAUUAAGUUAUCUGUGAAAUCCCUGGGCUUAACCUGGGCAGGUCAGAUGAUACUGGUUGACUCGAGUAUGGGAGAGGGUAGUGGAAUUUCCGGUGUAGCGGUGAAAUGCGUAGAGAUCGGAAGGAACACCAGUGGCGAAGGCGGCUACCUGGCCUAAUACUGACACUGAGGCACGAAAGCGUGGGGAGC
rnacentral:rRNA from 1 species